rnacentral:rRNA from 1 species
UACGUAGGUGGCAAGCGUUGUCCGGAUUUAUUGGGUUUAAAGGGUGCGUAGGCGGCCUAUUAAGUCAGUGCUGAAAUAUCCCAGCUUAACUGGGAGGGUGGCAUUGAUACUGAUGGGCUUGAGUGCAGUCGAGGUAGGCGGAAUUGACGGUGUAGCGGUGAAAUGCGUAGAGAUCGGAAGGAACGUCAAUGGCGAAGGCAGCCACCUGGCAUAAUACUGACGCUGAAGCGCGAAAGCGUGGGGAUCGAACAGG